rnacentral:rRNA from 1 species
UACAGAGGCCCCAAGCGUUACUGAGAAUCACUGGGUUUAAAGGGUGCGUAGGUGGUCCGUUAAGUUCGUUGUGAAAUCCCGCGGCUCAACCGCGGGUCUGCAGUCGAUACGGGCAGGCUAGAGUUCGGUAGGGGAGACUGGUAUUCCUGGUGUAGCGGUGAAAUGCGCAGAUAUCGGGAGGAACACCAAUGGCGAAGGCAGCACUCUGGGACGGUACUGACGCUGAGACGCGAAAGCGUGGGGAGCAAACAGG